ACUGGGGUGGCAGAGCAUGGUUAAUUGCAAAAGGCCUAAGCCCUUUACACCAGAGGUUCAAAUCCUCUUCCCAGUU
rnacentral:tRNA from 1 species